rnacentral:rRNA from 1 species
AUUGAACGCUGGCGGCAGGCCUAACACAUGCAAGUCGAGCGGUAGAGAGAAGCUUGCUUCUCUUGAGAGCGGCGGACGGGUGAGUAAUGCCUAGGAAUCUGCCUGGUAGUGGGGGAUAACGUUCGGAAACGGACGCUAAUACCGCAUACGUCCUACGGGAGAAAGCAGGGGACCUUCGGGCCUUGCGCUAUCAGAUGAGCCUAGGUCGGAUUAGCUAGUUGGUGGGGUAAUGGCUCACCAAGGCGACGAUCCGUAACUGGUCUGAGAGGAUGAUCAGUCACACUGGAACUGGGACACGGUCCAGACUCCUACGGGAGGCGGCAGUGGGGAAUAUUGGACAAUGGGCGAAAGCCUGAUCCAGCCAUGCCGCGUGUGUGAAGAAGGUCUUCGGAUUGUAAAGCACUUUAGGUUGGGAGGAAGGGCAGUAAAUUAAUACUUUGCUGUUUUGACGUUACCGACAGAAUGAGCACCGGCUAACUCUGUGCCAGCAGCCGCCGUAA